AGACACUGAAUCGCUGGUGCCUUGAUGUUGGACAUCUCAGCUUCUAGAACUGAAUUGGGCUGUCUCUCUCUCUUUCUCUGGUUGCAUUUCACCAGCUAAGGAGUUGCAUUGGCUUCUGCUCUCCUCUCUUGCUCACCUACAUUGUGAGGCAGAUGAGAGUGGAGGUUGUAAAUCACCCUCCAUGCAAUGGUUCAUCAUAAAGGAUAUGGAGCAAAAUUAGAGGAGGCACGAGAAGGAAAGCCGGUGAUGAACAAGGAAAGUGCCUGGUUGAAGCUAGCUUGCAAUCCCAAAGUCAGAAGGUUGCCUGGGAAGCCAUGAAACAAAGCCAAAUCAAGGCAAAGCAGACACAUGGAGAUUUUGAGACUGAGAAGAGGAAAACUGAGGACAUUCAUGUGAGAUGGUUUCAAGUUUCCCUUAGAAGGAGAAGUUAUCUUCAGAAGGUCAGGUUGGUGAGGUGGGAGUUCAAAAACAACAAAGUAUGUAGCUACCAUUGUGAGGAAGACCAUGGAAAAUGGACGAAUCAGAAUGAAAGGCUUUCUGAACAAGAGGGAGUUUCCCUGCACAAGCUCCCUCCUGCCUGCUGCCAUGUGAGACCUGCGUUUUGCCUUCCACCAUGACUGUGAGGCCUCUUCCCCGGCCAUGUGGAACUCCCAGAGACAGAAGCAGAUAAUGCAAGUGUCAUCUACAUCUGGCAAAAGCCAAAGGUUUGGAAGAUGGAAAAAGGAAUCCAGGCAAAAAGGAGCCCAAGAUUGAAGUGAAUGACCAGGUGCACCAGUUCAAAUGCAAUCAGGAGGGACAGGGGUAGAGGGAGAAGCCUAGAGCAGCGCUUCUCAAACUGACUAUUCAAGUCACCUGGAGAUCUUGGUGAAAUGCAGACUCUGGUGCAGUAGGUCCUGGCGGGAACUUGAAAUUCUGCAUUUUGACCAAGGUCCAAGGUGAAUGUCCAGUGCUGUUGUCCUUGGCCUGCAGCAGGAGGAGCAGGGAUCUAAGACUUGGAGAGCAAAUGUCAAGCUCAGAAGAAAGACUGGAAGUUUGGGGACAAAACCCAAAUAUGGCUAAAGAAAGCCUGUAGGAUGAAGUUGGAAGUUCCAGAGCCUUCUCUUCACAUAAUGGGACAUGCAAGGGGGAAACCAAAUCAAAAGUGUAGAAUGCGUCGCUGGAUGUCUUUGACAUGUUAUUGUUCUGAUAGAAUAUCAGCGGGGAGCUACUGAGGACCUCCUCACUACCCUCCCUUGGAAGAGUUUGUCUGCAAUGGAGCCAACACAGUGGAAAGCAGAGCUGAGAAAUGGACAAACAACUCCUGAUGCCUCAUUUGAGCACCUGGAUUUAGCCAUGUCUGAAGCUAUUAUAUCCUUGAACUUUUGAAUCAUGCACUGUUUUAAGUCCCAAAGAAAGAGGCAGAGGAGCGACAGAGAUGACUUCCUCCCUUGAAAACGAAGCAUGUGGCCUGACAACCUAAAAUUGGGGUCAAUCCAUCCAAUUAUGGUGACUGCUUAGAAAUAUCCCUUUUCCUCCCAACGUUUUCCUUUCCUUCUCCCAUAAACAUAAUAAUGUCUCCUGCCAGUACUAAGGCAUGGCCCAUGGACCCACUAACACCUAUGCUCACGUUAGCUCUUGAGGCCGAGUGGCUUGGUUCUAUCUGGUUAUCAGAUGCAAACUUCAUCACAGCAGGGAUUUGGGCUAGACAUUAGAGGAAUAGUGUGGUACCAGAUGGUGUUUCUGAAGAAGGUUGUCCUAUUUUUGCAGUUUAAGGAUUUGAUAAUAAAUCUGCCUGGCAGCCCU
rnacentral:lncRNA from 1 species